rnacentral:rRNA from 1 species
UACGGAGGGUGCGAGCGUUGUCCGGAAUCACUGGGCGUAAAGGGCGCGUAGGCGGCCUGAUAAGUAGGGGGUGAAAUCCUGCGGCUUAACCGCAGGGCUGCCUUCUAAACUGUCAGGCUGGAGCACAGUAGAGGCAGGUGGAAUUCCCGGUGUAGCGGGUGGAAUGCGUAGAGAUCCGGAAGAACACCGGUGGCGAAGGCGGCCUGGCUGGGCAG